rnacentral:misc_RNA from 1 species
ACCCCUCCCUUCCUCCUCCCCGCUCCUCACCUCCCAUCGCAUCGUUUUCGGCGCCCAUCAAGCCUCCGCCCAUCCGCCCACCAGCACUUUCCCGGUGCCAAGCGGGCGUCGUCUCUUCCCUUCGGCAAACAGUCUCCUCCUCAGCCUGGUGGUGGUCGCACAAGCCCUUCACAGCCCUUCGUUCACAUACAACCAAACAUGCCGGGUCGCAAUAAGGAGCUCGAGGCCGAGGUGGUGGCGUGGGUGGAGGCCGUCCUUGGCGAGAAGCUCCCCCCAGGCAACUUCGAGGACGUGUUCCGCGACGGUGUCAUCCUCUGCAACCUCAUCAACAAGCUGCAACCCAACUCGGUCAAGAAGAUCCAGACUUCGGGCGGAUCCUUCAAACUCAUGGAGAAUAUUCAGAGGUUCCAGGAAGCCGUGAAGAAGUACGGCGUCCCUCACGAGGAGAUCUUCCAGACAGCUGAUUUGUUCGAGAGACGAAACAUACCUCAGGUCGUUCUUUGCAUCUACUCGCUCGGUCGCCAGACGCAGAAGCACCCCGAGUACCAGGGGCCGACGCUGGGGCCCAAGAUGGCGGAGGAGCAGAAGCGGGACUGGGACGAGGACCAACAGAGGCUGAUGCGGGACGGCCAGAUCGGGCUCCAGAUGGGCUACAACAAGGGGGCGAGCCAGGCGGGCCUGGGGGCCAUGAACCAGACGCGUCACAUGUAAGGAGGAAAGGAAGAGAGGAAGGAGGGCGUCCUCGUUUCCUUGCGUCGUUAUUCCCAUCGUCUUCGCUUUAUUUUCCCCACUGUGGCGGUGCGGUUUUCUGCCUCCUUCCUCGCACCAUUUCCCCCUUCUUCCCCAGCUCCACCUCCUACUUUUCGCUUCGUGAUGUCUUUGUUUAUUUGAUCUGCCUUUCCUCCCCUUCCUUCUUUGCAUCAUUUUCCUCCUCACCUCUCUACCUAUUCUUCUUCCUCCUCUCCCUCCUCCCUCAACCUUCCUUUGCUUCUUCCUCCGUUGGUCGUCUAACCCCAUUAGCAUUUUCAUGGCGCAGUAUCUCAUUACUUACUUUUCUUCAAAUCCCUCCGAAAAACUAUUUUUAGUUUGUCUUAGACCUUUUCCUUUAUUUGUUCCUCCUUUCUCCCUUCUUCUCCCUUCUCUUCAUUCACCUUUCUUUCUCAUUUGUAUCUUCUUAUGUAAGAAGUCAAAUCUGCCUUUAUUUUCGUCAAUAAACUUUCACAUUAACUUUCCUGUCAUUAUUUCACAUUCUUUGGUCUUCAAGAAAAAACUCAAGAGGAAAGCCAAUACCAGGACCUUUUAUUUUGACCUUAUGUAAGCCUAUUCCAGUUCUCUCUCUCUCUCUCUCUCUCUCUCUCUCUCUCUCUCUCUCUCUCUCUCUCUCUCUCUCUCUCUCUCUCUCUCUCUCUCUGUUUGUCUGUCUUCCUUUCUCCCCCCAAUCUGAUGCUGGUAAGAGGAAAACAAAGUGUCUCAUCAAGAUUAUCUUUUUAAAUUUCUUUCUCUCUUCCUUUAAUUUCUUAUAAACCCUUUUCCUGCCUCACAUAGUUUCUCAAAAUACGUGAGUCAUGCGUCUUCUUAACGACUAUUGGGAAAAAUGCCAGAUUAUGCUUAAUGAUGUAGGUAGUGAUCCCCCCCCCCCCCACAAUUCGUAUCUGCAUAGGGAAUGAGUGUCAUGUUUUACUAGUCGAAUAGAAGCCGAAUUAUUAAGCUAGUCUCCCCCUUUUGUGCUGAUGUUAUGCCGGGUCUCUGUUUUGUUUAAAUCAUGAUGGUAUUAAAAGAAUUAAAAUGA